GACUCGUCGUCCUCUGUGGCCUUCUGUUCCACUUCUUCAUCAUCCUCUUCUUGCACCACCCAAGGCUCUUCCUCAGGCCAAAACAACAGCAGAACCAAAAGUAGGGCCAUGUUCAGAAACUGGUGUCAUCUGGUGACUUUUGUGAGCAGAAACUCAAGUGGAGAUAAUUAUCUCUUCUGAAGAGUCCAUCCUGUUGUCCUCCUCGGUCCUCCUUGGCUACUAGCAACUGUGUGGAGGAAGGGUGGGGGCUGUGCUCGAUCUCGGAAGGCUUGUAUCAUGUGGACACGACAAAUGUUUUGUUGUCAUUACUUACAAUUCCUCAUGAGGACAACAGAAACUGUGCACUAUAGAUUUAAGAUGUUGCGUUUACAAUUAAAAUUAUUCAUAUUCAAAACACAGGAUUUCUUAAAAAAAUAUUUGGCAUAAAUCAAAUAGCGUAUUGCCAGCAAUGAUGACAAUCAUGUUUAGGGGGCUUGUUAAUACAGCCUAUAAGGUCAUAAUUCAUACAUCUACAGUGCAUAUUCCUUCUAAAUCUCAAAAGGGUAACAGCCAGAAACAUAAUUUAUUUUAUUCACAUAAGCAAAAAGCAAGAACAUUAGACAGUUAAACAUAAUUAAAGCUGCUCUCAUCAAUAUAUCAAUAUUUGCAUUUUAACAGUAGAAUAAAUCCCUAUGUAUAAUGUGAAGCAUAUUAAUGAAAAGCACACUGAGAAUUACUGCAGUUCAUCUCAGCUUUAUGAUGCGAUUUGGUAUCUUUCAGGUCAUUGUUUUGUUUUUAGGACCAAUAAUUUUGUUUCGCUGUUUUUAUCAAUGUUCUUUCCAGUUGGUUUUAGUACAGCAAAGUACUCUACAGCCAUUAGAGUAGACUUAUGCAUUUAAUCAUCAAAUAAAGAAUAUGAUUAACACAAAUACAACAAAACACACAUGCUUCAAAACAUUUUAUCACAUAGUACACGUGACUUAAUCUGCAUUACAAAUAAAAAUAGAAUGAUUCUGAAUAAGUGCAAUGAAAGACAUCUGGUUGCAAUGUUUAUUGUGUGAAAAAGAAUUUUUCAUGAACUAUGACGUGUUUGCACAUAAUUACGGUUAUUGAAGAUUAACUUGUGGCUAUGGUUUAUUGUACCAGGUGAGCUUUCAUGUCCGCACCCAUGUUUAGUUUCAUUGUCUUUUCUUGUCUGUGCUAAAAGAUUUGUACAUUUUUGUCAGCCCGCCAGCAGAUUUUGACGUCAGACAAACCUCGUAAUUCCUGCCAUGCAUGAAACUGAAAUCAGAUAUGCAAACGUUUCUAAGAAUAGACUGGUUGUGUCUCUGUCUCUCUAAUCUGUUUCAGCAGUAAAUCACUCUGUAGGAAGACUCAGAUUGAAAGACAGAACUUAUUUUCUAUUUCACCACAGUGCCCUUGGUUUUAAAUCUAAAAUAGAAACCCAAAUUUUCAUUUUAUGUAUAAACUAAGAAGAUUAAUUAAGAAGCUUUAGAGGUGGUGGUACAAUUUUUUUUUUUUUUUAAUCCAUUAUACAAAGAACAGACCCUGUCAAAAUCGCGCCUUCAGUCCUGAUACAGCCAUCAAAAGUAGGACAAUACCUGCAGUUUACGUAUUAAUAAAUCGGUCCAACACCAAGUCCAGGAUUUCAUGAUCCGUUAGAUGUUUUAAUGCAGAAUGUUCUCCACUUUUUCAGCUAAUGACCACAAACAGACAUACUUUAGAUCCAUGUAUUAAAAUAUUUUCUCCUUCAGGUUAAACUCAUAUCAAACUGCUCUCCAUCAUGUAUGGUCCUUAAUACUGAUUCAGAGCAAAAUUUUAAUUAAAGAGGAGAAAAAUUAAAGAAAAAACAAAAAUAAUGUGCUUUUAUUUUUAUUUUUUGUUUCUAGUGUGUUUGUGUUGCUUAUUUAGCUCAUUUUUGUUUUGUGUGUUAGCUUUGGAUUAUUUAGACUAUAGCAUAAUUACAUAGGACGUGAUGUGAUCAUUCUCAGUGUCCUUUUUAAAGUUAACUGGGCUGAGCCCUCUGUUAUGAUUACAAAUUUUGCAUAGAACGGAACUCAUGCCUUUGAGAGGGAAAUAUGCUUCAGUAACUAAUGAUGAACUGUGCUGUAUUUAAUGUAUUUAGUUUUUGGACUUUCUUUGC